UAGGGAAUCUUCCACAAUGGACGCAAGUCUGAUGGAGCAACGCCGCGUGAGUGAAGAAGGCUUUCGGGUCGUAAAACUCUGUUAUUGAAGAAGAACGUGUGUGACAGUAACUGGUCAUGCAGUGACGGUAUUCAAUCAGAAAGUCACGGCUAACUACGUGCCAGCAGCCGCGGUAAUACGUAGGUGGCAAGCGUUGUCCGGAUUUAUUGGGCGUAAAGCGAGUGCAGGCGGUCUUUUAAGUCUGAUGUGAAAGCCUUCGGCUUAACCGAAGAAGGGCAUCGGAAACUGGGAGACUUGAGUGCAGAAGAGGAGAGUGGAACUCCAUGUGUAGCGGUGAAAUGCGUAGAUAUAUGGAAGAACACCAGUGGCGAAGGCGGCUCUCUGGUCUGUAACUGACGCUGAGGCUCGAAAGCGUGGGUAGCAAACAGGAUUAGAUACCCUGGUAGUCCACGCCGUAACGAUGAAUACUAAGUGUUGGAGGGCUUUCCGCCCUUCAGUGCUGCAGCUAACGCAUUAAG
rnacentral:rRNA from 1 species